GACGUAGGGUGCGAGCGUUGUCCGGAUUUAUUGGGCGUAAAGAGCUCGUAGGCGGCUCGUCGCGUCAGCUGUGAAAACCCGCAGCUUAACUGUGGGCUUGCAGCUGAUACGGGCGGCUAGAGUUCGGUAGGGGAGACUGGAAUUCCUGGUGUAGCGGUGAAAUGCGCAGAUAUCAGGAGGAACACCGGUGGCGAAGGCGGGUCUCUGGGCCGAUACUGACGCUGAGGAGCGAAAGCGUGGGGAGCGAACAGG
rnacentral:rRNA from 1 species